AUUGAACGCUGGCGGCAUGCCUAACACAUGCAAGUCGAACGAGUGGCGGACGGGUGAGUAAUGUCUGGGAAACUGCCCGAUGGAGCGGGCUAACUACUGUAAACGUUAGCUAAUACCGCAUACAGUCGUAUGUGCCCAGAUGGGAGUAGCUAGUAGGUGGGGUAACGGCUCACCUAGGCGACGAUCCCUAGCUGGUCUGAGAGGAUGACCGGCCACACUGGAACUGAGACACGGUCCAGACUCCUACGUGAGGCAGCAGUGGGGAAGCUUGCGCAAUGGGCGCAAGCCUGAUGGAGCCAUGCCGCGUGUAUGAAGAAGGCCUUCGGGUUGUAAAGUACUUUCAGCGAGGAGGCGGUACUCGCAGAAGAAGCACCGGCUAACUCCGUGCCAGCAGCCGCGGUAAUAC
rnacentral:rRNA from 1 species